AUUGAACGCUGGCGGCAUGCCUUACACAUGCAAGUCGAACGGUAACAGAUCUUCGGAUGCUGACGAGUGGCGAACGGGUGAGUAAUACAUCGGAACGUGCCUAGUAGUGGGGGAUAACUACUCGAAAGAGUGGCUAAUACCGCAUGAGAUCUACGGAUGAAAGCAGGGGAUUGCAAGACCUUGCGCUACUAGAGCGGCCGAUGGCAGAUUAGGUAGUUGGUGGGAUAAAAGCUUACCAAGCCGACGAUCUGUAGCUGGUCUGAGAGGACGAUCAGCCACACUGGGACUGAGACACGGCCCAGACUCCUACGGGAGGCAGCAGUGGGGAAUUUUGGACAAUGGGCGCAAGCCUGAUCCAGCAAUGCCGCGUGCAGGAUGAAGGCCUUCGGGUUGUAAACUGCUUUUGUACGGAACGAAAAGCCCUGGGUUAAUACCCUGGGGUCAUGACGGUACCGUAAGAAUAAGCACCGGCUAACUACGUGCCAGCCGCCGCGGUAACAC
rnacentral:rRNA from 1 species